rnacentral:lncRNA from 1 species
AUGGAAAAACCAGCCGCCGCAGCACCGAGGUGUAUCAUUUACAAGCUUGGCAUUAGACAACAAGCGCUUGUAGGGUUCGGCCUCUGCAAUCUGCAAAACGGAUGGCACAGGGGUACCAUAACCUGGCAGAAUAUGUCAUACCAUGCCAUGGUAUUGCAUCGCAGAGGAAUCCCUCCCAUUUGCUUUCCAAAGGUUUGCAGAAGGCCCCAGAGGCAAUGGAUCAAAGAAUUUAACCUCAUAAAGCAUUUUCUUAGGGUCACUGAACAGCGUUUGCCCAAAGUGUUAUCCAUGAGGGCUGCAAGGUUUCAGGGGAACACGUCCAGGAGCCCCCAGAUCCAAAACUGGUUUUCUUUUUGCUUCACCUGCCACAGAACUGGCACAGGCUGUCCACCUCCUCUCGGGGUGGUAAAAAGCCCCUUAGGGGCCAAUUCCGGGCAUCCUUUUUGUGUUAAGAAGACAGGGUCCCUACACACCAUAUCAGUUAUACUGAAGAGAUUUCAACUGGCUGCCUGCUUAACAAGCCGUAAUUUCUCCUCUGGGCAGCUCUUUAUGGGCACUGACGUUGCUGCCUCCUCUUCCACAGAGCAACUCUGCCUGCAGGGCUGCAGCAUUAAUAGCUGCACCGUCCUUGCCUUAACAAAGAGACGAUUAAUCUGUGGCUACGGAGCAGUGGCUUUAUGUGCACAGCUCCUGCACCUGCAGUCAGGGUUCAGAAAGGCAAAAUACCUCUCUGCAAAGCUGCCAAGAAAACUAUAUCACCAGGCCAGACAGUUAAGUAGGAAGUUAAGUAGCAGGAGGCCUCCAUAUUGCCUCCUACAAGGUUUCAAGGCAUCCGCUUGGGAACAGGGCAGAAACCUGGGAAGAUUUUUCCCAUUCUUUGUAAAGAAUUGCACGUCGCUGCAGUCCAGAAACAGCAGUUCUUCCCUCUGUGGACUUCACAAUCUAACAUCCCCCCAGAGACAGCUCAGGCACAAGUCCAUCAGGGUUCAUGUCUGUUGCCAGAGCUUUUCAGCAGAAGCCCCAUGGCCACUCAGAAACUGA